UACGUAGGGUGCGAGCGUUGUCCGGAAUUAUUGGGCGUAAAGAGCUCGUAGGCGGUGUGUCACGUCGGCCGUGAAAACCUGCAGCUUAACUGUGGGCGUGCGGUCGAUACGGGCAUCACUGGAGUUCGGCAGGGGAGACUGGAAUUCCUGGUGUAGCGGUGAAAUGCGUAGAUAUCGGGAGGAACACCGGUGGCGAAGGCGGGUCUCUGGGCAAUUCCUGACGCUGAGGCGCGAAAGCGUGGGGAGCAAACGGG
rnacentral:rRNA from 1 species